GAUGAACGCUGGCGGCGUGCCUAAUACAUGCAAGUCGAGCGAACGGACGAUAAGCUUGCUUCUCUCAUGUUAGCGGCGGACGUGUGAGUAACACGUGUAUACCCUACCUAUCAGACUGGUAUCACUUCGGGAAACCGUAGCUAAUACCGUAUAAUAUUUUGAACCUCAUUGUUCAAUAGUGAAAUACGGUCUUGCUGUCACUUCUAGAUGGAUCCCCGCUGCAUUGUCUAGUUGGUAAGGUAACGGCUUACCAAGGCAACGAUGCAUAGCCGACCUGAGAGGGUGAUCGGCCACACUGGAACUGAGACACGGUCAAGGCUCCUAAGGGAGGCAGCAGUAGGGAAUGUUCCGCAAUGGGCGAAAGCCUGACGGAGCGACGCCGCGUGAGUGAUGGAGGUCUUCGGAUCGUAAAAAUCUGUUAUUAGGGAAGAACAUAUGUGUAAGUAACUGUGCAGAUCUUGACGGUACCUAAUCAGAAAGCCACGGCUAACUACGUG
rnacentral:rRNA from 1 species